CGCUCGCUGGCGGGGAGAGGCCUGCAGAAGUCAGGCCAGGUGUCUCUCUUUCCCUUGGGCCCGCGGCCCAACCGCAUGGCACCAGGCAGCCCCCAGCGGUAUUGCGACCUCUGCGUCAGUCGCGCUCAGUCCCUAGAUACAGGUGUGCCGGAGAAGCCCAGGGAAGGGAUGCGUGACCAUCACUACACCCUGCCCCACGACGCGGUGGGACGCGCACCCUGACCCUCCCCAGAGCCGCGCCCAGGACCUUGCCUGGGCGGAAAAUGGCAGCCGUUGCCGGGAAGGAGCGGCGAGCGAGAGGCAGGCCCCGGCCAGAGACACUGGGAGCCAUCCCUAGGAGGGAGGGAGGCGAGGCGGGCUUGAGCCGAGCCUUCAAGCCACUGGCGCAGGCGCCAUUGUCCUGUGAGACUUCGCUGAGAAAACUCAAAUUCAAAGGUAAAAAUGGAGACGGGGUUUCACCGUGUUAGCCAGGAUGGUCUCAAUCUCCUGACCUCGUUAUCCGCCCACCUCGGCCUCCGAAGAUGCUGGGAUUACAGGCAUGAGCCACCGCACCCGGCCUAGGUCUUAGAUGCAUGGCUCUGUGAGCGCUGAUGAGGCUGCCCGCACGGCUCCCUUCCACCUCGACCUCUGGUUCUACUUCACACUGCAGAACUGG
rnacentral:lncRNA from 10 species